rnacentral:snRNA from 1 species
AUACUUACCUGGCAGGGGAGAUACCAUGAUCACGAAGGUGGUUUUCCCAGGGCGAGGCUUAUCCAUUGCACUCCGGAUGUGCUGACCCCUGCGAUUUCCCCAAAUGUGGGAAACUCGACUGCAUAAUUUGUGGUAGUGGGGGACUGCGUUCGUUCGCGCUCUCCCU